UCGAACCCUGCAAAGCAGAACGACCCGUGAACAUGUACCCACAACCGGGAGUCGGUUAUGUUGGCGUAGUCCUUCAUCCCCGACACCCAGUCGGCGUAUGUCGAUGGUGCCCAAUUCAGGGUGUCAUUGAUGUCACGUUGGCACUUUAACAAACCCCGGCACGGCAUGUGCCAAGAAAAACAAUAACUGAGAAGGACCCUCAGGCAUUGCCCCGUUUGCGGUGUGCGUGUUGGCGUGUCCUCCUAGAAAUCA
rnacentral:misc_RNA from 1 species